GCCGGGUGUGGUGGCGCACACCUGUAGUCCCAGCUACUCGGGAGGCUGAGGCAGGAGAAUUGCUUGAACCCAGGAGGCAGAGGUUGCAGUGAGCCAAGAUUGCACCACUGCACUCCAGCCUGGGUGACACAGCAAGACUCCAUCUUAA
rnacentral:sRNA from 1 species